rnacentral:rRNA from 1 species
AACGAACGCUGGCGGCAGGCUUAACACAUGCAAGUCGAACGCCCCGCAAGGGGAGUGGCAGACGGGUGAGUAACGCGUGGGAACAUACCCUUUCCUGCGGAAUAGCUCUGGGAAACUGGAAUUAAUACCGCAUACGCCCUACGGGGGAAAGAUUUAUCGGGGAAGGAUUGGCCCGCGUUGGAUUAGCUGGUUGGUGGGGUAAAGGCCUACCAAGGCGACGAUCCAUAGCUGGUCUGAGAGGAGGAUCAGCCACAUUGGGACUGGGACACGGCCCAAACUCCUACGGGAGGCAGCAGUGGGGAAUAUUGGACAAUGGGCGCAAGCCUGAUCCAGCCAUGCCGCGUGAGUGAUGAAGGCCUUAGGGUUGUAAAGCUCUUUCACCGAUGAAGAUAAUGACGGUAGUCGGAGAAGAAGCCCCGGCUAACUUCGUGCCAGCAGCCGCCGUAAUAC